CUGUCAACAUUUGCCCGUGCCGUCAGCUCGCCGAAACAAUUAAAAGAACUAUCCCCAGAACUGAACCCUUCUCUGAAAUGUGUUCAGAAAGCUCCUUUCAUUCAUAUAUUACUAGUAGCUAAACUACAUUUUUUUUUUCGAUUUUUUGUUCCAAACAUUGAGCAACCCGGCCAGCUAUCUCAUCAAAAGCUCAAACGGGCAGAAACAGGUGGAAGGAAUCAAUUCUAAAGUUUGCUUGAAACGGGCCCGGCAUGUCCAAACUUUGCUUUCAAUAAAGGAGAAACACUCAAACCUAAAGAAAGAUUCGUGUUUAGCUUCUGUUGAGGAGAGACUCGAACCUAUGCAAACAAGAUCAAAAUAAUGACAACUUAUGCAGCUCUAGGACUAACACUCUCCAUUAUAAAUUAUAGUAAAUGACGGGCUAACCAGAAAGAAGAGAAACAUGCUAGAAAAAUCACAGAAAAAAAGAAAAGCAACCAACCAUAAAUCUCUGUUAUCAUUAAAUUUCACUACAGUGUGAUUUCACAUAUUGGAUGCUUGGACCAUCUGGCAUAGUAUCUGUACCUCUGCAUAUUGAAAAGCUUCCCUGGAAAGACAUGUUGAAAAUGUACCACCCUCUCAAAAGCAAACACACUAAAAAGCUUGCUGCACCAGUUAGAGAUCAAAUUUAAACUCUGCUUUCAAGUUUUCGAUAUAAGAAAGACUCAAACCUAAAGAAAGGUUCGUGUUUAGCUUUUGUUAAGGAGAGACUCAAACCUACACAAACAAGAUCAAAGAAGAUGACAAUGUAUGCACACUAGGACUAAUUUUCCUGAACAUGUAGAUCAACCUAAACCGAGAUAUAUUGGGAGUAAUAUUUUAGAAAAACAUGGUCAUGAAACUCAUGCCCUAGAGUUGUGUUAUGAUCGCUGUUUACAUCGCCAUCUAUCAUAUGAAUUAUACAUAGCCAUUGAACAUCUGUUAUGUGUUACAUGCACUUCGAGAUUGAAAUCCGUGCCUCACAGAAGGAACCGAUUGACAGUCUAUAUUGCUUGUAUCUUGGUAUAUAUCACAACUAAUGAAAAUUAUGCUAGAAUUCUCAGAAAAAAAUGGCACUCCCAUAAUUUACUGACACUUGCUAUGAUUGAAUAAAACCUUCUUAAAGUUUGUAGCUAUUUAAACUCAACUGAUAAGAAGUAUAUUUGAUCACCUAUUCUGAUAAAAACUAAAAGUACAUAAAGGUCAUCUAGAAAAAAUGAUACUCCCUCCAUUCCACAAUGUAGUGCCUAUAGAUUUUUGUGAAAGUCAAACUUUGCCAACUUUGACCAAGUGUAUAGAGAAAAUUGUCUACAUCUACAAUACCAAACAUGUACAUUAUGAAAAUAUAACUCACGAUGUAUCCAAUGAUGUGCAUUUGGUAUUCUAGAUGUACCUACUUUUCUCUAUAAACAUGGUCAAAGUUUGUAAUGUUUGACUUUUGUAAAAAUCUAUAGGCACUACAUUAUGGAACGGAUGGAGCAUUAGCUAGAAAAUCCCACAAAAGCCAAAACAUCCCACGGUUGAUCUAUUUCAUUGUUAAAAGUAAAUUCUCUGUUCUAAUAUAAUAUCGCGCAUAAAUGGUGCCAAUUCCCAAUUUUAACUUUAACUCCACAUAAUGAUGUAAUACAGUGUUUUAACAGUAUGAUGAUACAUCCCCAUGUGAGUUAAGGUGGCGUUUGGUUCGAUGGCGAGGCUGGGUUGGCUAAGGAUAUCCUCAACCAGGUGGUUAGGGAUAACCACUUUUCGUUGUUUGAUUGGGUGGGAUUGGAUUGGUUGAAUAUCCAUGUUUUGUUGUUUGGUUGAAAGGGUGAGGAGAGGUGGCUAGGGAUAGUUAUUUGUGUGUUUAACUUUGACAUGCCAAGUUUGAAAAAUAGAAAUACACUUUCAGAUAGCCUCUUUUUCUUGUGUGUAGUAUUUAUUCACGGUAGUACUAGUAAAAAAAAACUUCAAGAUACAUAUACACAAGCACACACGCACAAUCAGCCACACGUCCUGACGCAUAAAUUAGUAUACACACACAUAAUAACAGAUCGGGCUGCAGUUCGUAGAGCGACAAAUCAGAGAGUAGAAUUUCAUACAGGGGAAUUCGAGCAUGGGAAUUGAGAGGAUUGAGGCACCGAGCCAGCCGCAGCCUAACCCAGCAGAGGCACGCAGAGCUUGGUUGUGUGGCGGCCGUCGUUGAGGAACGCGUGAUUGUGUGGCGGCCGUCGUCGAGGAACGCGAGGCUCUGGCUGGAUCCGGUUCGCCGCUACUCUUCUCCGGCCGGCGCCGGCGCCGCCGCCCAGCAUGAGAAAGAGAGCGCGGAGAGGUGGAUAAACUGAGAUGCUUUUCGUUCGGGAGAACUGACUCGAAAGAAACGAUUCGCUUGCGACGCGAGCUUGGCUGCCUGCCGUCAUCCGCCAUAUUUUGCCGGCUCUUGCCAACCAGUUUUUUGAGGAAUAUUCUCAGCAUCUUGGCUAUCCCUAUCCUUUCAUCCCUGUAAACCAAACGAGUGGCAUCCCUCAGAAAAUUGGCUAUCCCUGUCCAACCGAGGGAUAACAGAUGAACCAAACGCCAUCUAAAAGAAAGAUGAUGAAAGUUUUUUCAUGCGCAAGCAAUUGGUGGGCACUGCUAUUUCGAGCAAAAGCAUAAAUUUGCGGUUGAUUUAGAAUUUUCAUUUGUUUCAUUUAUAUGAGAUUUUCGUACCCAGCAUUCCGUAAGAAGUUUUUGUAAAACCAAUUUUAUUGGAUCACUUGGAUCAGCUAAAUAGAUGUCAAAGAAUGCAAAAACUUUCUUCGAAGUAUAGUCGAUGAUUCUAUCAUGGAGACCAUUUCCUUUGUAUCCAGUUGUUGUGUCCCACUUGUUCUGUUUCAGCUAUUAUCUCACAUGUUGGUCUUCUGAUGGCCACUUGCAUGUUCUGUUUCUUUUGUUUUUGCUGAACUUGAACUCCUGUAAUUGAUAGGUCAUAGUAAUGGAACUGGGAAGGUUUCCCAUUCUCGCUCAAAUUUUCUUAUGAAUGAAGUACAUGUAGCUUUAUGAUAUUCUAGUCUUUAAUCUUUUUGCUUGCUUCUUAGACAUGAAUUGGAUCUAAAAUUGCUUGUGAAGCCAGUGUUCUCUCUGUAACUUGAAUGAUCACAUCACGCCCAUUUGUACCCAGAGGUGGCAUCAAGCAAACAUUGUGUGACUGACUGAUAGCUACUCCCUCUGCCCGAAUUAGUUGUCUCAGAUUUGUCUAGAUACAUCCGUUUCUGGACAAAUCUAAGACAACUAAUUUGGGACAGAAAUAAUAUUUACCUGCUUAUACUUUGUUGUUCUUUGUCUGCCUCUGUACUAGUAUUGGUGAACAGAAGCAUGUUCAGGCUGUCUACAAAUGCUAAAGUUGUUGCAGCAUGUAACUUACAAUUGUUACAUUAAAGAAAGCUGCAUCAAGAUGCACAGUGUUUUGAAACGAGAUGAGGCAUACUUCAUGUCUCUCUUGAGAAUUGCAGAAACUACUUGUGGACUUUAUUAUUCGUAUGACAGGGAUUUGACAUUAAACUUGCAGAGGGCAUCAAAGCUGGCUGCGGGGAGGGUACAUAAGCCACUAUGGAAGCAGGCUGAUCCACGGUUUGUUUGGAACAGGAAUUUGUUAGAGAAGCUUAUUGAAACUAAGGUAAUCCUAUUUGAAGAGAAUACAAACGUUUUUCUGAUUUUCAUUUUCAGACGACUUACCUAUUUUUAUAUGUUGUUGCAGCUUGAUGAGUUCAUUACCCCACUGAUCCAAGGAAGUUUUCAGACAGAGCAAUUUACCUUGAAGGAUAGACUAGUCAGAAUAACUUUAUUCUCUCAGAGAUGCAACAGGCGUUUAGGGACAAGAAUGUGGAGAAGGGGUGCAAAUCUUGAAGGUGCCACCGCCAAUUUUGUCGAGACAGAACAGCUGGUUGAGUAUGAAGGUUUAACGUCCUCAUUUAUACAGGUUAGGGGCUCUAUUCCACUUCUCUGGGAGCAGAUAGUGGAUUUAAGCUACAAACCACGACCCAGCAUUAUUGAACAUGAAGAAAUGACGAAGGUUGUUGAGCGCCACUUUCACGAUCUUUCACAAAGAUAUGGAGAUACAAUGGUUAUUGAUCUGACCGAUAAACAAGGUGAUGAAGGAAAUUUAAGCAAUGCAUUUGCUGCUGAAAUGCAGAACUUUCCUGAUAUCAGGUAUGUGCACUUUGAUUUCCAUCAUAUUUGUGGCGGAGGGAACUUUGAUAACUUGCAAGUUCUCUAUGAUGAAAUUGAGGAAGCUAUUCAGAAACAAGGAUAUUUCCUUAUGAACUCUAAAGGAGAGAUAUUGUUGGACCAAAGUGGCGUCGUUAGGUCCAACUGCAUAGAUUGCCUGGACCGCACAAAUGUGACGCAGAGUUUCCUUGCAAGAAAAUCUUUGGACUCACAGCUGCAGCGAAUGGGGGCAUUAUCAUCAGCUGAAAGUAUCUCUCAAUCUGAUAGCAUUAACGAUAAAUUUAAAAAAUUGUGGGUUGAGCAUGGUGAUGAGCUAAGCCUUGAAUAUGCUGGUUCUUAUGCCUUAAAGGGAGACCUUGUAAGGUAUGGAAGGCAGACACUGCCUGGAUUGAUUAAAGAUGGCAUGAGCGCUCUUUCCCGGUAUUAUUUGAACAAUUCUCAUGAUGGAGUGCGACAAGAUGCUCUAGAUCUUAUCAGUGGUUACUAAACGGUCAGCAAAAGCAGUUCUUCUCCUUUUCAAAUCAUUGGAUUUGAAUCUGCACCAUAUCUUCCUGUGGCGUCGGCAAUCAUAGUUGGUGGGAUCACUGUCACAACUUUCACUCUUAGUCAAGUUGGACGGAGCGCACAACACCUCAUCUCGUCCAUCAUCUUUGCUGGCUUGACAGCCGGAGUGAUAGCCUUGGUGAAAGCGAAUGGGAAGCAGCUCUGCUCUAGACCCCGAUUAUGCGGUCUGAUCUAGUUGGCGGUCCCUUUUCUCUUGUCCAGUUCUCAGAGCUUUGUUGCUGGAAUCUGAAUGGGUAUGAAGUGUUGAUAGCAAGCUACGUGUCCGCUGUCAGCGUAGAUAGAUUAAGCAAGGGAAAGGUUGGCUUGCUGGUCCGGUUAAUCUGAAGUAAAUUUUGUAACACCUGGUUAGAUUGUCUGGUUUCCUGGUAAAUAGUGGAUUGUGCAGUCAGAGACACGCCAUCUUGUAGUAAUGAAAAUUAAGGUUAAAUUGUAACAUUGAAUUCUACCGCACAGUUUCUGUAUCUUAAACUUGUGAAAUUGUCUACACAGAAUUUAAAAUUACUGAA